ACCCUGAACUUUGCCAAGCCACUCCCUGCUCAGAACCCUCCAGGGCUGAUCAUCACUCAUCACUUACCCCAGACACCAGGGCGUCCUGCACUUGAAGGCCUUUGCCAUGUCCUCCGUAUCCUCUCAUGGGGAUGCCCUGGGCCCCUGGCCUCUCUCUCAGAGUCUCCAGGUCAGUCAGCGUGCAAGCUCCGGGAAACAUGAGCUCAGCUGCCCUGCCCCAGGGAGGGGCGGGAUCGUGGUGGACACGACCCAUGACCUCAUCUCUCCUGGCUCCAGGCAGCAGCCCUGCCCACCUCUGGAGAAUUCCAUGACUCAGGUCCUGAAGGCUCAGCUCCUUGGAAGCACACAGUGAACGUGGACGCGAACCUGAUGUCCUUUAGGAAACACCCCACCCCCAUCCCCACCUCAUCGCCCAAGAUGCUGUCACUUCAGUAGCCUCCAAAGGUGCCUAGACACAUGUGUGCAAGACACGCACACAUGUGCACACGUGCUUGCAUGCAUGCCAAUAUGUCAUCUAUUAAAAUUCCAGUUUUACAAACUUGUUUUAAAAUUGCCCAAAGGACAUGGAAAAUAACCCUGCUUUGAAGAUGUGUGCUGCCUCAGCCGACAUCUGCUUUCCUGGUCUCUGGACCGAGUGGGGGAGGCUGAGUCUGAGCCUCCUCUCCUCUGGUGGGGGUGGGCUGGUCUAGGGGUGUUUCUGCUGCCUGGGCACCCCCUGCUCUGCCAGCGCCCAUCCCAGGAGGGGACUAGUACUGGCCUGAGGCUGGCAGGGUGUAGAGGGUGCUGAGGCC
rnacentral:lncRNA from 1 species